GUUUUUAGUUUAGAUAAUCUUAGUCUUUUGCAUUGACUUAAUAAUAAAUUGUCUGUUUUAAAUAAUUCCU